AUAAUUUUCAUUUCUCUCUUCGUUUCAAUACUGAUGUAUUAGAGAUAGGUUAGGUUGGUGACAAGGGUUAAUUUGAUAUCUGACAGUACUUUAUUUUAUCUUGAAAUAUUUUAGUGUUUUAUUUCAGCAGAGCGAUGGCACUGAAAAAUGUGGGGCCCGUUUCUUGCUGCUUUGGACGUUUUACUUGAGUCUAACUGCAGAGUAGAUUCUCUUCAUGUGGACCUGCAAGUUAGACCCAGGACACAACCGGUCUUGAGGACUCUUUGGCAUUGGUGGCACUUUGACUGUUUAAGAAACAUGAUUCAAGUGCAGUAA
rnacentral:lncRNA from 1 species